ACCGGCGGGAGGAGGGCCCGCAGCUGGCCAACUCGGCCGGCUGGCGAGGCCACCCCGGACAGACUCCGGCCUCGCGGGCUGCAGAAGCGCGUCCCGGGGCUGCCCUCCUACUCCAUGGUUCGCGCCGGGGGGACCCAGGGCUGAGCUGGGGCUGGACCGCGCCGAGUGCACCGAGCGAGCUGGGAGCGCAGACGAGUGUACUAAAGAGGAUUUAAAAAUAUGUGAGUUCAUCCAGACUGGAGUGUGUGUCUUGUGUUAUUGCCAUCAAGUGUUUCGAGACAUGGAAAAGAAAGUUUAGGAGCCCCGAAGAGUCCAGCUAUCUAGGAAAGACACUCAAAUCGUGUUUUCUAAUGAAAACUCUCAAAAGACAACCUUAAGAAGAAAAUUUCAGUCUCUGAUACUCCUGUCUGAGAAGGACUUUGAUUGGAAAAAGCAGCAUCACCUGCAGAGGUGCAAGGAUCCUCCCAAGAAGGACAGUCAUUUUAGUAUCUAUUGAUGGAUCUUUCUGCAACAAUGAUUACCGUGGGACUUAAAUGUCUUGUGAAAAGUUACAUGCCAUUUUCCUGAAGCAGUGAAUGACUACUGGAGAAGAGUAAAAUGUGUGUAAAUAGACUGGAAAUUUGAAGAGGAAAGGAGGCAAUGUUCAAGCAAAAAAACAAUGACCAAUGGGGAGAGGAGAGCAUAUGGCACCCUAUAAGUUAUAUUUCCAUCCUAUCUUGGUGUUCCAGAGAAGUGCUUCUGUAAGAAGCAGCAGGCAACUUCCAGACCUCCUAGCACCUAACUUCAAGACCUUAUUAUCUCCCAUGGAUAAGAUUUCCCAUGCAAGGAUCUGAAUCUACUAGCCAAUGACUCAGGAUUCUAAGACUUGAAGUCAUAUCUUUAAAAGACCCAGGGUGCUGUUCAGAGUGGAGCAAAACCAUAUACCUAUCUGUAUACCAAUCUUAUCUGCAAGUAAAGUAUAUAAAUCAAGAUGAGGCAGUUGUCUAUAAUAAAAUAGACUGCAUUUUAAUUUAUAAACCACCCACAUUUUAUUAGCAUUAGUAAAUUCCUUUGAUAGACACACAGCUUUUGUCUUUGGUUACUGGAGGUGUUUUACAUAAAGAACUCUUUGGUCAGAUCUAUUGAGGUGUUUUACAUGAAGAACUCUUUGGUCAGAUCUAUUGAGAAUUAUGCUGUGGGUGGUCUGCAGCUUCAAAAUGUCAUGGUUCACAGGUGUUUUGUGCAUUACACUCUCUUUAUAUUUAAGAGAAACUUCAGAGGCACUGAAAUUACAUUAGGAUCUCCUUGUUCACACAGCAAACCCCUUUAAUUCCCUACCAAGCAACAAUCCAUGGUUUCCAGAGCACUGGUAAAUAUUCCACCAAAUGCAGAGCUAGAAGGAACCAAGACCUAAUUCUGGAUUUUCCACAGAUGUGCAAGAUGAGAAAAUGUCACAUCUUCCAGAUGCCUUCAUUUUAUUAAGAAUACCAGUUUUAAAAAUGGGAGUUCAUAACCCACUUGAAUCAAAGUGUGAAAUAUGAUAUAUCAAGAACUAUGUAAUGUUUUGAACAACCAACAAUUAAAAAAAAAGAUGGAAAAAAAAGAAUACCAGUUUUGUACAUGUAUGAAGACUUGAAUGGGUGUCAACAUACUUUGUGUACAGAGACAUGAAAAAUUGUGGUAUAUAAGUGUAUGAAGAAUUGUAAUGCAAAAAAAAACAAAGUACAUAUAAAGACAUAAAUUGGCGUGAACAUACUUUAUAUAAAGAGAUACGAAAAACUGUGCUCUAUAUGUGUAAUAAGGAUUGUAAUGCAUUCCACUGCG